UACUGAGACUGCGAGCGUUAUUCGGAUUCACUGGGCGUAAAGGGUGCGCAGGUGGCUAGGUGUGUUAGGCGUGAAAGCCCGGGGCUUAACCCCGGAAUUGCACCUAAAACUACUUGGCUAGAGCAUUGGAGAGGGGAGCAGAAUUCAUGGUGUAGCAGUGAAAUGCGUAGAUAUCAUGAGGAAUACCAGAGGCGAAGGCGGCUCCCUGGACAAUUGCUGACACUCAGGCACGAAAGCGUGGGGAGCAAAAGGG
rnacentral:rRNA from 1 species